rnacentral:tRNA from 1 species
GGGUUAGUAGCUCAGUUGGCUAGAGCAGGGGCCUCUUAAGCCCAAGGUCGAGGGUUCAAGUCCCUCCUAACCCACCA